rnacentral:lncRNA from 1 species
UUUUUCAGAAUGAUAUUCUAUUGUAUUCUAUACAUAAAUACAAUAACUUCAAAAGUAAGUUUUAUUUAAAACUAUCGACGAGAUUUUUCGUCCAAAGCGUAUGGUAAACAGCAUUGCGUCGCAAAUUAUUUCGUUCAAAGCGUGACAUAACGAUAUUGAACCUCGAGAUAUUUUAUUCAUAGAUGUAAAGUGGUUAAUUAUCAAUUAUAGUGUAGAUUAGUGAAAAUUUGAGACAAAUAAAUAUAAAUGAAUAUGAAUGUAUCUGAGAGAAAGGAUGGAGAGCGUAUGCGUGCGAAUGAUUUAUUAAUUGAUGCGUGAUUGGUCAUGAAAGAUCACGCCAUUUAACGACUGAUUGUGAGAUGAUCGAUAAAUCAGAAAGACGACAAAAGACGUUUGACGCUGGGCGACAAAGGGAAAAGGAUGCUGCUGAAAGUGAAGAUGAUAUCAUUCCACCGAAAAAAUGUUCUCAGUUGAUCUCACUGAGUAGUGACAAGGACGAAAUUUAUUAAAUUAAGAUAUGUCAUAUGAUUGUCUCUUGUGAAACAACGAGAAUCCACGGUAAUCGAGCCUCGGGUUAUUGUCACUCGAAGCAUUAGAGGGGAACCUGUAAAGACCACUAAUACACUAUCUACUAAGAUAAUGGAUAUGGACAUUAAAAAAAUAAAUAAGACCUUACUAAAGAAAGUGUAAAAUAUAGAUGAGGUCACUCGCCUUUUCACUUUAAAA